GAUCAUGGCUCAGAUUGAACGCUGGCGGCAUGCCUUACACAUGCAAGUCGAACGGCAGCACGGGAGCAAUCCUGGUGGCGAGUGGCGAACGGGUGAGUAAUAUAUCGGAACGUGCCCAGUAGUGGGGGAUAACUGCUCGAAAGAGCAGCUAAUACCGCAUACGACCUGAGGGUGAAAGGGGGGGAUCGCAAGACCUCUCGCUAUUGGAGCGGCCUAUCAGCCUGUUGGUGAGGUAAUGGCUCACCAAGGCGACGACGGGUAGCCGGCCUGAGAGGGCGACCGGCCACACUGGGACUGAGACACGGCCCAGACUCCUACGGGAGGCAGCAGUGGGGAAUUUUGGACAAUGGGCGCAAGCCUGAUCCAGCAAUGCCGCGUGCAGGAUGAAGGCCUUCGGGUUGUAAACUGCUUUUGUACGGAGCGAAAAGGCUCUCUCUAAUGCAGAGGGCUCAUGACGGUACCGUAAGAAUAAGCACCGGCUAACUACGUG
rnacentral:rRNA from 1 species